GCUAUGUGCAGCCCAAGCUUGGGCUUGGUCACCAGGGAAGCUGCUGUCUCAAGGUGAAUCAGCAGAACUGAGCACAGAACCCUUGGGGAGAGGGGUGCUGGGAGCCCACUGGACAUCUGGAAUGGAUUAUCUCCCACCUGCAUUUGACUUUCAGGAUAAGCAACAACAAAUGCACCCUCAGAUUGAUAAGAUGUAAGGCGCACUUUGACCAGCCGGGAGGACCAGAAAACCUUUACAUAAAGGAGGUGCCCAAGCCCAGCCGGGAGAGGGGCAGAUCCGCUUGGUCUCCUCCGCAUCACUCCUGCUGCCACCCCCGCCCAGGCCAGGGUCCUCGC